GAUGAACGCUGGCGGCGUGCUUAACACAUGCAAGUCGAACGGUGAAGCAGGAGCUCGCUCGUGUGGAUCAGUGGCGAACGGGUGAGUAACACGUGAGCAACCUGCCCCUGACUCUGGGAUAAGCGCUGGAAACGGCGUCUAAUACUGGAGAUGUGAUGUGACCGCAUGGUCUUCAUCGGGAAAGAAUUUCGGUUGGGGAUGGGCUCGCGGCCUAUCAGCUUGUUGGUGAGGUAAUGGCUCACCAAGGCGUCGACGGGUAGCCGGCGCUGAGAGGGUGAACGGCCACACUGGGACCGAGACACGGCCCAGACUCCUACGGGAGGCAGCAGUGGGGAAUAUUGCACAAUGGGAGGAAGCCUGAUGCAGCAACGCCGCGUGAGGGAUGACGGCCUUCGGGUUGUAAACCUCUUUUAGCAGGGAAGAAGCGAAAGUGACGGUACCUGCAGAAAAAGCACCGGCUAACUACGUGCCAGCCGCCGCCGUAA
rnacentral:rRNA from 1 species